rnacentral:lncRNA from 1 species
UUAACUUUCACUGUUGACGCUUUAACCCUUCUUCUACGAAUUCGAUCGUAACUUUCUCGUUUCAUAUCGAAACUUCGCGAAAUUCAUAUAUAUUAUUUUAGUGAGGGUAUAAUACCGUUACAAAGUCUUUGGAACGUUAAAGGGUCACUCAGAGGUAUUAUUAAACAUGUUGACACAGUUAACCCCUGUAGUUUGUAAUCUCUCACUUUCUUCCGCGUUUUAUUUUUGUACGAUCUAUAAUUUAUUCGUUUGAAGGUUUAAGCAUUAUUUAGGGAUACUAUACAGUAUAUUUACCCUUGUUGACAUUUAUAACCCUCGAAUUUAUAUACUUUCAAGAAGAGAAUGCUUGGAGCACUUAGAAUGAUCAGAGGUUUGUCAAAAUUAGUCCUUUAUUUAUUAUAGAUGCCACGUGUAAACAAAUGACACGUGUUAACACAUCAUUGGACACAAAAAUUCGAGGUGUUACAUCCUCACCCCCUUAAAAUAAAUCUCGACCCGAGAUUUACUCAAAUAAAUAGGGGUAUUUUUCUUUCAUUGUAGCUUCGACUUCCCACGUAUAUUCAGGACCUCUACGAGCAUCCCAUUUGACUUUUACAAUCGGUACGUGCUUUCUGCGAAGCUUCUU